AGGAAAAGAAUACUUUCACUAGGCAAUUUCAAGCUCAUUUCUUAUUAUAUCCUCCCACACUAAGAAAUAGCAAACAAGUGACUUUGCCUUGAGAGAUCUACACGCACCUUUGAGAAAAAAGAAAGAGAAUCAACCUUGAAAGCAAAAAGAAGGAAAGAAGGAGAAAGAAGAAAAAAAAAGGAGGAAAAAGAAAAAGGUUUGGAGGAGGCUCGGUUUUGGGGAAGAUUAGAGAAAAAUCGAAAGGUUUUCUCUUUCAUGCCAUUGUUGGAGCUUUGAAAAGGCAUGAGAGGUUCGGCCUAGUGAUUCCAAGCUAAGGAAGCAAGGAUCUACAAAGAUUCAAAGAACCAGGUGCAUGCAUGCAGCUUGUUCUUGAAAGUAUGGUGAGUUAAAGCAAGACAACUAACGGCAAUGGUGACCAAAGAUGUGAGGAAUUUGUGAGAUAUAUGUGGAAUUCACGAUAAAAAUCAAAAGGAAGUGUAUAAGUGAGGAAAGUUGUUGUGGUGGCAUACCGGAGGAGUUAACGGGUGACCAGCGAGCUAGAUUAGCUAGAGACACAUCUGAACCAAUAGUGACGUAGUGUCCCACUAUUGUGAGAUAAGUGAUCAGCUUAAGUGUAUCACCCCAAUAUUUUGACUCGCUGCGACGUAGGUAAUGGCAUCUCUUAGACUUCCACUCCGAGUCACUCUGUUGCACAAGGCUCAUGUUAUGUAAAACUGUUAGAUUCAUAAAAUUAUUAUUAGUCUUUCGGAUAUGUAUUUGAUAAAAACUUUGAGGUUGUGUAUUAGACGCUAAGUGUGAUGUUGAAACUAUCUUGAAGUUGGUUAAACGUGGAUAUUGUAUCUAGUUGCUACACUUUAAUUACAGCUAU